rnacentral:rRNA from 1 species
GACGAACGCUGGCGGCGUGCUUAACACAUGCAAGUCGAGCGGAAAGGCCCUUUCGGGGGUACUCGAGCGGCGAACGGGUGAGUAACACGUGAGUAACCUGCCCUUGACUUUGGGAUAACCCCGGGAAACCGGGGCUAAUACCGGGUAUGACCCUGCCGGGCAUCUGGUGGGGUGGAAAGCUUUGGCGGUCAGGGAUGGGCUCGCGGCCUAUCAGCUUGUUGGUGGGAUGAUGGCCUACCAAGGCGAUGACGGGUAGCCGGCCUGAGAGGGCGGCCGGCCACACGGGGACUGAGACACGGCCCAGACGCCUACGGGAGGCAGCAGUGGGGAAUAUUGCACAAUGGGCGGAAGCCUGAUGCAGCGACGCCGCGUGAGGGAUGACGGCCUUCGGGUUGUAAACCUCUUUCGACAGGGACGAAGCGCGAGUGACGGUACCUGGAGAAGAAGCGCCGGCCAACUACGUGCCAGCAGCCGCCGUAACAC